rnacentral:rRNA from 1 species
GACGAACGCUGGCGGCGUGCCUAACACAUGCAAGUCCAGGAGAAGAGAUUUCUUCGGAGAUCUUUGUAAACUGGCGAACGGGUGAGUAACACGUAGGUAACCUGCCCUUGGAUUGGGGAUAACACUGCUAACGCGGUGCUAAUACCGAAUAAUGCAGCGGAUCCGCAUGGAUAUGUUGUUAAAGCUGGCCUCUUCAUGAAAGCUAGCGUCUAAGGAUGGACCUGCGUCCCAUUAGUUUGUUGGUGGGGUAAUGGCCCACCAAGACUACGAUGGGUAGCCGGCCUGAGAGGGUGACCGGCCACACUGGGACUGAGAUACGGCCCAGACUCCUACGGGAGGCUG